UACGUAGGGUGCGAGCGUUAAUCGGAAUUACUGGGCGUAAAGCGUGCGCAGGCGGUUUUGUAAGCCAGAUGUGAAAUCCCCGGGCUUACCUGGGAAUGGCAUUUGGGACUGCAAGGCUCGAGUGCGGCAGAGGAGACUGGAAUUCCUGGUGUAGCAGUGAAAUGCGUAGAUAAUCAGGAGGAACACCGAUGGCGAAGGCAGGUCUCGUGGGC
rnacentral:rRNA from 1 species